GCAAAUAUUAAAAAAAAAAAAAAAGCAAAUUUUUUAAUGUAAAAAAACCAAAUAUUAUUGAAUUUUUACAGUGGAGGAGAAGAGGAGAAACAUAGUGCAUCUAAACUGGAAUGAAAAAGAAUUCCCAGAAGAUUGCUGCAAGAAAUACAGCAAGAAAUGUUGAUCCUUGAGGCACAUGAAUGUACUCAGCAAGAACUUUGGCAGUCUUAAUGGUUUCUGAAUACUGGAUCUAGGCUCUGUAAAUGAUAGGUAAGACUAUAUUUAUUUAUAUAUUUAUUU
rnacentral:lncRNA from 12 species